rnacentral:tRNA from 2 species
GGAGAGGUGCCGGAGCGGACGAACGGGGCUGCCUUGAAAGCAGCUAGGGCGGAAACGCUCUCGUGGGUUCGAAUCCCACCCUCUCCGCCA